CAUUAUCGUGGGGCUUCGGCCCUCUCGAGAUACAACCCUUGCCUUUUUGAGUACCUUUCGUUUCCUCGGCGGGCUCGCCCGCCAAUGGGGACCACAAUAAACCCUUUGUAAUACCUGUAAUCGUCUGACAAAACAAACAAAAAUUAAAACUUUCAGCAACGGAUCUCUUGGCUCUCCCAUCGAUGAAGAACGCAGCGAAAUGCGAUAAGUAAUGUGAAUUGCAGAAUUCAGUGAAUCAUCGAAUCUUUGAACGCACAUUGCGCCCUUUAGUAUUCUGAAGGGCAUGCCUGUUCGAGCGUCAUUAUCACAAAUCAAGCUCGGCUUGCUGUUGGACCUCUUGUCGGUAAAAGACAGGCCCCAAAGAUAAUGACGGUGUUAUUAGAACCCUAGAUGCAACGAGCUUUAACUAGCACGCACCAUAGUGGCCUUUUAACCCGGUCUUUUUAACCAAUUUCUAAGGUUGACCUCGGAUCAGGUAGGAAUACCC
rnacentral:rRNA from 1 species